UUGGAGGGCAAGUUUGGUGCCAGCAGCCGCGGUAAUACCGACUCCAAGAGUGUGUAUGAGAGAUGCUGCAGUUAAAAAGUCCGUAGUCAUAGAAGGGCAAAGAGAGAUGCGAGGUCUCACAGUGCGAUGAUGGAGGAGCCGAUGGGGAACAUAGUAUACCAGGGCGAGAGAUGAAAUGCCAAGACCCCUGGUGGACUGAGCGAGGCGAAGGCGAUGUUCUUGUAGGCAUUCGGUGAUCAAGGACGAAGGCUGGAGUAUCGAAAGUGAUUAGAUACCGCAGUAGUUCCAGCAGUAAAAGAUGCCGACAUGCUCAUUGGACACAGUGGGCAGGGAGAAAUCUUAGAGUUCGGGCUCUGGGGAUAGUAUGCUCGCAAGGGUGAAAAUUAAAGAAAUUGACGGAGCUACACCACAAGGAGUGGAUUGUGCGGCUUAAUUUGACUCAACGCGAGGAAACUUACCAGGGCCAAGUAUUGUGUAGAAACGAGCAAUACAGGAGUGGUGCAUGGUCGUUGGAAAUUGAUGGGAUGACUUUGACCUUAAAUGGUUGAAUGAGUGAGAUCUUUUGGACAUGUUCCGCACGGAACAGGAAGGAAAAGGCUAUAACAGAUCCGAGAUGCCCUCAGAUGCCCUGGGCUGCACGCGCAAUACAAUAGCAGGUAGAGAGAGAGACAGGAAGGUGCUCAGAUGGACUAUGUGCUGUAAGGCACAUACGAAAGAGGAAUUCCUAGUAAGUGUGUAUCAACAAUGGAUAU
rnacentral:rRNA from 1 species